AAGCCCCGGGGUGUUACACGCCGGGUUGCAAACCCGGAAAGGCAGAAGAAGUUCUGCCGGGGCUUC
rnacentral:tRNA from 1 species